rnacentral:tRNA from 1 species
GGUUUAUUAGUUUAAUUAAAAUAUAGGUUUUGUAAGCCUAGGAUGGUUUUAACCCAUUAACCU